AUAAGAUAAAAUCACUGGUAUACCGGAGAUGGUCAACCACCCUGAAAAAUCCCUUUUUACUCCGAUAACCUCAUUUUUGAGAUAAAAUUUUGAUGGAGAACUGCAUCUGAAAAAUGGGGUUCAACAAAAGCUGAAAAUCCAACUGCGUAUCUCAGUUCCUGAAACGACCAUCCAUUUAAGAUAAUCACACGCUUGCCAUAGACUAAAGGGCUCAGAUUUUGCUGUAUAAGAACAUGCAAAGAGAAAGCGACAUUGCCAUGGCUGCAGAUACACCGAUUUGCAAAUGGAUGCCUUACCGGGUCGCCCUGCCAAGAUACGAGUCGGAUUUUCUCAACGCAGUCAAGCAGAUUAUAGUCCAGAAAGAAGCAAAUCAUCAUCACAGCCCAUUUUAUCAGAUCAAUCAACAUCAAUAAAACACCUCAUUUACGUUCCGAACUCUUAAAAAAAGCAGCUACCUUGUUGUGUCAUUUCUACCUUGCAGAAGCACAAGCAGAAAAAGCAUAUAUAUAUUUGGAAUCUAUGGCCAAACGCCUGCAUGGUCUUGUUUUCAGUUUCUUGAUCUUUUCUUUUUCUCAAAGGACUGUUGUUUUUUUCUGAAUGGAGAAAGAAAUCAUGGACAUAAAUAGUAGAGAGGGGGCAAUCACCCUUUACAGAAAAUCCCAGCUCUCUGAUGUCUCAUUCUUCAUUCCUGGGCAAAACUAUGAUGAGGGUACUGCAAAAACACACUAUGUUAUACAUAUAUAUAUAUAUAGCACAAUAC
rnacentral:lncRNA from 1 species